AUAAAACCACUUUUACCGACGCUUAGCAGAAAUUUGUGAUCAAGAUCUACUAAAGUGAUUCACCAACGCUAGUCCAAUUUUUGGUAGGGGAAAGCAUUCAUUAUAAUAUAAAAGCUUUUUGCACCAGAAUUUCAAGCUCAAAAUGAAUUCGCAAAGGCUAAAACUUCAUUGCGGAAAUGUCUUGCUAUCAACAUUCUUCAUCUUCUUAUGUGUGCAUUUAUGUGUCAGAUUGAAUGUGAUAUAAACUCUUUGCGUUAAUUAGUUCUACAAGAUCAAUUAGUGAUUUUCGUUUUUUUGAUGUUGAGGAGUAUCGUUACUCCUCAUAGAUUGAACCAUCCAUGAGACGAAAUACAAAUUUGGACUCAAACAUUAUUUUGUGCAGCGCACACUUUGCGUUGGGAAUAAUAUCAGUAUGGGCUCUAAAAUAUGUUAACAUUAAGGCUUCAAAUUCCUACGUUAAUUUUACAAUAACAUUUGUGUACAGCUUGUUUGGAGUCUUAUGUCACACUCAUCCAUAUGCAGGGAAAACGCUACACACCGCCAGUGCAUUUUUAAACCUAUUAGUUAAAUUGAUUGGACUUGUGCUUUAUACUUUCGAUGUAGCUAUUUUAACAAAACGUUACAAUUCGUUUUUGCUUCUGAUUAGUUGUGCUCUGACAUCAUUAAUUAUCAUUAUAAAUUAUUUUAAGUGCGAAUCUAUAAAGCUACACUUAAACAAUUUUUUUAUGGUAUGGAAUAUAUCGAUCAUAACGAGUAUUGCCUUCAGGCAAACUGAACCAUAUUGGCUUAUCGGUAUGGUUGCUUUGUUAAUUCUUAAUCAUUUCAUUCUAAAUGCUAUUCUCAAAUCUAUUCAUACGACAUCUUUGCAUUCACAUGAAGUUAGUGUCAUUGGACUAUGUUUUUUUACGAUAUUCGCUUUAAACUCUGUUAAUGAGAUAUGUUCAAGUUGAUGAUGUAAAUAAUAUUUAAAAAUGCGUUAAAAUAGAUUUGUAUUUUUAUUUAAAAUACGCAGUUGUAAAUAUGUAGUAAAUAGUUUCUAAGUUUGCUAUUAUUUAUAAACAACGGUUUUACAAAUCAUUACCAUUGACAGGUAUCUGCAAUCUAGACAAAUUGUAGUAGAAUGCCAUGCCAUUAUAGAGAAUUUCAUUUAAACUAGAUUAUCACAAGAUUCUUCGAUAAUUAGUCGCAGGUGACAGUGUAAGAGUGAUACGUUUGUACAAAUUCACGGCUUCUUCACUAUGUAUGAUUUCCAUUGUCUUUCCAUUUAAGAUGUUAACGAAUGCGAUUACGUUCUUGUGAUGCAUUUUAUUUA